GCUUCUCUGCUGGAGUUGAAGGAGGCUUAAUCUUCCGAGGUGGCUUGUAUGAGUCUUCAGCAUUCUCAGCUGGAGGGUGACCAGGGUUGUGACCAUAAUGUGGUGGCUUCUCUCCCUUAGGUGGUUUGCCAACUGGGGUUGGUGGCUUGUAUGAGUCUUCAGCAUUCUCAGCAGGAGGGUGACCAGGGUUGUGACCAUAAUGUGGUGGCUUCUCUCCCUUAGGUGGUUUGCCAACUGGGGUUGGUGGCUUGUGUUCUGGGAGUGGCUUCUCCCCCUUGGGAGGUUUUUCCAAUGGGGUUGGUUUGUGUUCAGGAGGUGGCUUCUCCACUGGAGGCUUGUGUUCAGGAGGUGGCUUCUCCACCGGAGGCUUGUGUUCAGGUGGUGGCUUCUCCACCGGAGGCUUAUGCUCUGGUGGUGGCUUCUCGAAUGGGGGAUGCUUAGGAUAAUCAGCAAGUGAGGGGGCGGUGAGAACCACCAGGCCAAGCAACACCACUAGCAAAUAUGUAGGAGACAUCUUUGGGUUUGGGCUCAGAUGGUGCAAAACUAGGAGAAUUGGCUAGCCUUUUAUAGCGGAUCGUACCCAAUAAUGAAAUGACACGUGUCAUUAUGACCCAUGUGUAAUGGGGUCGAUUUGGGUCCUACAGUGUUGAAAACUUCGACAUCCACUUUUGGCCUUUUGCUUUCUCUACAGCCGCCUUGCUUUUUCCCUCUUUCCUUUUGUUUUCCUCCUGCCCCAUUCUAUCAACUAAACACAAUUAUGUAGUUGUUUAAUUCUUAAAUGAGAUAUUAUCCGUCAAUCGUAUUAUAUUUUAUCAAGAGAGAACGGAGUGCAAUGUGGCUGUAAUUUUAUCGUUUAGUUUUAUCUCUUGGACCACUGCAUUUUUGUUAAGAGGUGCAAUAAUACACGUCUUUAUCUGCCAUUCAAUAUUUACAGUAAAGAGAGGGCACAAAACUCUUCACUUCGCACCAUAAUUAUUUUGUUUUCUGGACACCCCGGGGCCCUUUGGUUGGUUUGGGGGUCAGAAAGUGAACAUCAUAGGGGGUUUUUCCCUUAUGUGCAUUUGUAUCUGAUGGCUUUAACUCGCCUUGUUACUACAAAGAAACUGUCACAGAUAGGAACUUAUUCCAGGCUGAGUAUCUCCUCAUAGACCCUAUAAAAGAAGACAAGUCAUAAUGAACAUCUAACCUUUGUUCAAUUUGAUUCAAUGCCCCCAUUGUGUCCAUCUCACAAAUCUGAAUUAUUAUAUCCAUUGAAUACAUAAAUUAAUGAAGAAAAUAUGAAACCCAAGAUACAUCUCUGCACAACCUCAACCCUGGUUGCUAUGUUUCCCUUCUAUUCACAUGAUUUGAUGCUAAUUGCCAAACUUGCAACAAGCCCUGAGUUUGACACCUAGUAUCGAUGGGCGAAUUUAAAGUCUCCUCCAAACAUAUAUUCCACAGCUUGAAGCUCACAGAAGAUGUUACAGGCAGGGAAAAACCUUCAGAGUUCGCUACCAAAGAUAAUUAUUAAGGAGAUAUCACAAAGAGAAUUCCAAGGGGUCUGAAUCAAAGACAAAUUGGUCGUUCGUGGGGGUUCUUACUUUCUUUUGGGUAUAACUCACUGAGGGCACUGUCUUUGUUAUUUGCAUUUCACAUUUAGAGUUCUGUUCUGGAAACAUAUAAAAGGAGCAUCAUUUUGUUCUUGGGUAACCCAUAGUCGUGAGUGGGUCCAUUUGCAUGCUACUUAGUUGAAAAGUUGGACCAUUUGCUCCGACGCCUACCUCCCGGAUUCCAUGCUCGGAUAAAACAAGAAUAAAAAAAAUAUUUAUAAUUUACAAAUGGGGGAAAGAAAAAAAUGUCAACAACAAACCAGGAAAAAAGAGUAGUAAAAUUCAUGUCACAUGCUAGUGAGAGAAGGGGUUGUUACACUCACUCGAAGUUCUUUCCAAAAUAUCGCAUGGUAUUUUAUUUUAUGUGUCAGCGCAGUUGUGAAUGGAACGUGCAAAAGUCCAAAUUGGCGUUUUUCCUUUUCCCGUGUAGGAUGGCGACCUUUAAUAAAUAUUUAAAACAAAAAACGAAAAAAAGGAGGGAAAAGGGAUCAGAAAAGAUAAAACAAUGUGUACAAGAGCUCAAUUAGUUUGCAAAUUACUGUUUGGAUUUUGAUAGUAUUUUAUUUGUCCAUCUAUAUUUGAUGGAAAAGAGAAUUUAAGAUAUUUCUGAAACAAAAGCAUUAGUGUAAAACUAAAUUAAGGUAUAAUUAAGUUAGUUCAAUGCAUUAAUUUAAGAAACUUGAUCUAUCCAAAGUACAAAAUUAGAUGAAAUCCAUUUCAAUGGUUAAAAUGAUCAAAAUCAAACUUUUUCUAAGUAUUUUUUAAAAGCAUCAAUAUUAAAAGACAAUUUUAUAUUUAGUCGGAGUUUGGACAAAACCAAAAAGCACACAAAAUCCAAGCGACCAUCUCUAGCUUGGAUAGUCACUUGAUCCCACCUAGAGAUGUGCAUGAGUAAAAGGAUUUGAAAAUGGAAAUUGACUAAAUAUUUAGUUGAUCAAUUAAAUUUGCAAUGUCAUAUGCAAUCCUAAUAGCUAGUCAUCUAAUCAAUUAGGUAGUCAAUCAAGUGUUUGUAAUGACUAUUUUGUACAAAAAACCACAUGUAUAGUUAAAUAUAAUGCAUUUCAUUUAUAAAUCUUCUAAUUCUUGAAUAACGAUCCUAUCAUCCUUUGAAAAUUUUUAUUACACCUUUUUUACUUUUGUUCUAAAACUUACAUAUCACCCUUAAUUGUACCAUGAGAACCUAGCUAUUUUUUUUUUUUUUGUAAUUCAUCAAAGUUAGCUUUUGUAUUCAUUGUUGUAUUAUUUUUAGUAUAACUUAGAAAGCUAGUGUUUUCAAGUGAGUAAAAUUAACUUGUAAAUAUUGUAAAGAUUCAUUGAUAUGUAUCUUAAACUAAGUGUACAAAUUAAAACAUUUGCUAGUAGAUUUUCUCAAAAUUUAGAAUAGAGCUUGAGGCUAUUGAAAUAGGUGGGGUUACACCAAACCACAUCACAUCGUUGUUUGCACCUUUUUUCACUCUCUUUUACUUAGUUUCUCUAUAUUUGUUGUCUAGUAAUAUCCUAUAGGCUUGAUGGGUUAGGGAGCAUCCCUUUGUGAAAAAAUUUCAUUCAAUUCUUAGUUGUAUUACGCAUAUAUAAAAUGCCUCAUUGUUUUAAUGGUAUUCAGUCGUGGCAUCACAGAUAUGGGCAUCUAAAUUUUAAAAGUUUGAAACUUUUGUAAAGCAUGUUGAUAAAAUCCAUGAGAGUUGUGUACUUGGGAAGCAACAUCGAGGUGACUUUAUUUUUUUUUCCUUUUAUAAUGCCACACCUAAGUCCGGUUUCUAAAUGCUAAAGUGAAAGGGUAGGUAUGGACCAUUGAAAUGUGAUCACAACUUUUGGCCUUUUCCUUUCUCUGCAGCCAUGUUGUCUCUUUUUUCUUUUGCAUGAUUUUCUUACCAAAACAGAAUCAUAGACUUGUUUAGUCUCUAAGCUACUAUAUUAUAUCUCGGUGGACUUUUAAGAGUGCAACCGACAUAGAGCACAUGCAAGUGGGCAUAUGGGACAUGAAAUUUCUUCUUACAAAGAUUGCAUGAUUUUUAUAUUAGAGUUGUUCACGUGCAAUGUAUUUAGCUUGUUUUGCAGUUAAAUUAAUUGGAUAAGUAAACAUUGGCAUUUCUAAAUCGACUGUGAAGUGCUUCAUGUACGUGUAAAGUAUUAGAAAUUUCUUUCUUGGCAACUUGUUUUUUCCUUGCCAUCUACUGGUAGGUUUGACUAAAAUUAUAUUCCCUGUCAUGCUAAUUAAUUUUCAUGUGCAUGCUCAAAAGAAGAGUAUGACCUUAGUGCACCAAAAUCACUUUGAUUAAUUUGUGAUAGGUUUUUUUGCAUCAUUUAGAUAAUGUUUAGUUCUAAGAAAAAUUUAUAUAAAAAUGGUUUAUUUAUCUUACAUAUAUAUAUAUAUAUAUAUAUUUUUUUUUUUUUCAUUUUUUUUUCUUCUAUUUUAUUUAUUUAUUUUAUUUUCCUUAUGUUUUCCUCACAUUUUCCGGAACUAAACAUAGUCUUACGAAAUCAACAAUUGCCUUCAACUGAGUAGAUUCUGUUGUUUUAGCAAUGUUAGGCUGCUAACUUGUGGUGGUACGAACCAAAUGACCCAUGUUAAUCUUGGCUUGGUUUGAUUUGGCUCUAUCUCAGAGAGCUAAAGGAUCACGUCAACUCUGGUUUCUACUAUUCAGGUCCAUUCCCAGAUGAACUGGUUCAAAUUUGAGAAAAUGGUAACAGACCUUUAGUGAUGUUGGUUUGGAGCCAGUUGCCAAACCCGCCCUGAGCUUUACCACUAAUGUCAAGGGAGAAAGCCAUUUGAACAAAAACAAUAGCUUCAAGAGACUGAAUCGUGGAUGAAAUCUGAUCCACAUUUCUUCUCAUUUUGGGAAAAAAUGAGAACUUAACUACAAAGAUUCUACUGCCUCAUUCAUAGUGCUUUUCCUGAUCCAAGGUUGGUUCGUUUCCCAAAUUGUGAGGUGCACGUGCCACUCUCACGCUCAGGAGUGUAUCCACGUGGUGGACAUCAGAUGGUGGCUUAAUAUCUGGUGUCGGUGGCUUUACUUUACUAGGAGAGUAGUGUGUCUUCAUCUCAUUCACUGCCGGAGGGUGGCGUAAGCAGUGACGCUAAGGUGGGGCACAGUCAAUAUCAUUUGCAUUUGACCAUUAUAGUUUUCUCCCGGCUUGAAAGUAACCUUAUCGUGAUAAAGGAUUACUAGCACUAGUUCAGAUGACCGUCAUGUUAAUUCGGACCAUGUUUGUGUCACAUUAUCAGCAACCAUGUGUUUAUGGUUCAUGCUAUCUGCAACUAAACUUGAUAUAUAACCAGGUGAACUUCAAUCAAAAUUCUGGAAGUACUCUUGUGAUAGAUGGUGCCUGUCUGCAGAGUCCAUCAAUUGAAAAAUGGAGUGAGUGUAUCUAUAAGAGGGAAGGCUUGGCAAAUGUUCAGUUUUCUGGGAAUUCAACAAGGAUCUAAAAUAGAUUGUUUUCUUUGCCGACUUCAAUGGUUGAAAUUUGAGAAGAUUGUGUCCACAUAUCACAACUAUUACUGGUCCUUCUGUUGCAAUUUAUCCUGUAAGGCUCUAACAUGUCUUCCAAUUCCCACUUCCCUGUUACUCCAGGAAAGCUAUUUCUGUCAUUGUGAAGAAGAAAAGAGAAUGUACAUAUCGAUGCUUUUAAGUGACUGGAGCAUUCAUAUCAGGUGGUCUGCAGCCAUAUAUGCCACUUUGUGAAGGUUGGAACAGUCAAUCACUAGGCUAUAUAUUGGUGUGGCCCAGCCACUUCAAUCAAGGACAAGUCUUCAUACUUAAAGUCAAAUUCUGCCUUUAGUCUCAUUAUAAAUUGCUGUUUAAAUAUUAAGCAAACUUUUGUUUAAUGCGAUUAAGACAGUACUAACUCAAUACUUGUUCUAUUUUUGGAUGCAAAUGCUUGAUGGUUUCAUCAUUGGAUGGGAUAAAGGUGCAUUCAUGAUUAUGAAUACUUGUAGUUAUAUUUUCAUUCUCUUUUUUCUCAAUGAGACUUGUUGGCACAAUGUUGCUGUUCAGAAACCUACCUCUCCAUGGAAAAUAAGUUGCGAUUGAUAGUACUGGAUAUGUUCAAGAAAGCUAAAUAUAGAUAGCACAAAAUAUUAUCGAUAUAAAUAGCAUUAACAGCGUACGUAUGUCUCAAUGCUCAUCAGCUAUAAGCAUGGGACAAACACUUACUAUGAGCAACUUACGUCAAAAUUCCAGAAUAGGACAUAGAAGUGACAGAUCUAUAUAUAUAGAACACUGCAUAUGAGUCACAAGAAAGGAAAUUACGGGUGCAUAGCAGCUCUUAUUUUACAUACUACUACUCAUACUGAUCAAAGUCACUCAGUUGGGAUGGGUGGGAGUAGGAGGUUUGUGGGGUGGCUUGUGCGGAGGAGUUGGCAGCUUCUUUCCAGGACCUGGUUGCUUCUCUGCUGGAGUUGAAGGAGGCUUAAUCUUCCGAGGUGGCUUGUAUGAGUCUUCAGCAUUCUCAGCUGGAGGGUGACCAGGGUUGUGACCAUAAUGUGGUGGCUUCUCUCCCUUAGGUGGUUUGCCAACUGGGGUUGGUGGCUUGUAUGAGUCUUCAGCAUUCUCAGCAGGAGGGUGACCAGGGUUGUGACCAUAAUGUGGUGGCUUCUCUCCCUUAGGUGGUUUGCCAACUGGGGUUGGUGGCUUGUGUUCUGGGAGUGGCUUCUCCCCCUUGGGAGGUUUUUCCAAUGGGGUUGGUUUGUGUUCAGGAGGUGGCUUCUCCACUGGAGGCUUGUGUUCAGGAGGUGGCUUCUCCACCGGUGGCUUGUGUUCAGGAGGUGGCUUCUCCACCGGAGGCUUAUGCUCUGGUGGUGGCUUCUCCACCGGAGGCUUAUGCUCUGGUGGUGGCUUCUUGAAUGGGGGAUGCUGAGGGUAAUCAGCAAGUGAGGGGGCGGUGAGAACCACCAGGCCAAGCAACACCACUAGCAAAUAUGUAGGAGACAUCUUUGGGUUUGGGCUCAGAUGGUGCAAAACUAGGAGAAUUGGCUAGCCUUUUAUAGCGGAUCGUACUCAAUAAUGAAAUGACACGUGUCAUUAUGACCCAUGUGUAAUGGGGUCGAUUUGGGUCCUACAGUGUUGAAAACUUCGACAUCCAGUUUUGGCCUUUUGCUUUCUCUACAGCCGCCUUGCUUUUUCCCUCUUUCCUUUUGUUUUCCUCCUGCCCCAUUCUAUCAACUAAACACAAUUAUGUAGUUGUUUAAUUCUUAAAUGAGAUAUUAUCGGUCAAUCGUAUUAUAUUUUAUCAAGAGAGAACGGAGUGCAAUGCAGCUGUAAUUUUAUCGUUUACUUUUAUCUCUUGGACCACUGCAUUUUUGUUAAGAGGUGCAAUAAUACACGUCUUUAUCUGCCAUUCAAUGUUUACAGUAAAGAGAGGGCACAAAACUCUUCACUGCUCUGCAUGUGUCCCAAAAAUGCGAUUGGACAAAUUAUGAUUUGCAUGCUAAAAAGAGGCAAAUGAGGUUAAUUCGCACCAUAAUUAUUUGGUUUUCUGGACACCAUAAAAAGAUGUUAUACAGGCAGGGAAAAACCUUCAGAGUUAGCUACCAAAGAUAAUUAUCAAGCAGAUAUCACCAAGAGAAUUCCAUAGAGUCUGAAUCAAAGACAGAUUGCUCGCUCGUGGGGGUUCUUACUUUCUUUUGGGUAUAACUCACUGAGGUCACUGUCUUUUUUAUUUGCAUUUCACAGUUAGAGUUCUGCUCUGGAAGGUUUGUUCUGGAAACAUAUAAAAGGAGCAUCAUUUUGUUCUUGGGUAACCCAUAGUCGUGAGUGGGUCCAUUUGCAUGCUACUUAGUUGAAAAGUUGGACAAUUUGCUCCGACGCCUACCUCCUGGAUUCCAUGCUCGGUAAAACAAGAAUAAAAAAAAAUAUAUAAUUUACAAAUGGGGGAAAGAAAAAAUGUCGGAAAAAAUAGUAAAAUUCAUGUCACAUGCUAGUGAGAGAAGGGGUUGUUACACUCACUCGAAGUUCUUUUCAAAAUAUCGAAUGGUAUUUUACUUUAUGUGUCAGCGCAGUUGUGAAUGGAACGUGCAAAAGUCCAAAUUGGCGUUUUUAUUUUUCCCAUGUAGGAUGGUGACCUUUAAUAAAUAUUUAAAACAAAAGACGAAAAAAAAAAGGAGGGAAAAGGGAUCACAAAAGAUAAAAUAAUGUUUACAAAAGCUCAAUUAGUUUGCAAAUUACUGUUUGGAUUUUGAUAGUAUUUUAUUUGUCGUUCUAUAUUUGAUGUAAAAGAGAAUUUAAGAUAUUUCCGAAGCAAAAGCAUUAGUUUGCUCUGUGAUGUCCCACAUCGAAUAGGGGAGAAAGUUUCUGGCGCUAUAUAUGUAGAGGCUCCUCUUAACCAAGUAGAUGCGUUUUAAAACCAUGAGGGCCCCCUUAGGUCCAAAGCGGACAAUAUCUACAUGAUUGGGUGUAAGUCAUUACAAAUGGUAUCAGAGCCGAUCCCCGACCCCGGUGUGGGGGUUUGUUUGGCCCUGUAAGGGGUGUUUGUCUGUUUGACCCCACAAUCCCAUGGGACACAACGAGGACGUUGUGUCUGCAUGGGGGGGCGUUUGUGAUGUCCCACAUCGGAUAGGGGAGAAAGUUCCUAGUGCUAUAUAUGUAGAUGUUUCUCUUAACCAAGUAGAUGCAUUUUAAAAUUGUGAGGGCCUCUUUGGGCCCAAAGCGGACAAUAUCUACAUGGUUGAGUGUAAGUCAUUACAUGCUCCAUGUCAAUUUCAGCAUUUCUCAUAUGUUUCACACAUACACAGAAGAGCAUCGUUUUUUAAAGCAUGCAUUUAUGUUGGAUUAAUUUGGAUUUUGUGGGAACUGGGGCAAGGAUCACAUGGAAGAGAGGUUGACUUUUUUCAGUACUUCAAUGGUUGAAAUAUGUGAAGGCUUGAUUGAUACUAAAGCUUGAAAUUGCGACUCUGUCAUUUGUAAAAAAAUAUGACAGCUUCCAUGCUCUCGUUUGGUUGCAUUGUCCGGUCGAGAGGUGCAAAAAGCAUUCUCUCUCUUCUAAUAGUCUUUUCGUUUAAAUCAAGGGAUUUGCCUUCCCGGUCGAGGUCCAAUAGAGGGUAACGGUCACCUACUAAACAUUAAAUGCUCCAACAACUAGUGAACUGAUCGACCCCAGCUCGACUAGUUGAGGUUACUUUUUGGUUUUCUUGUCUCCCGAGGUUAGAAACCUAUAAAUAGAGAGCUUCACUUCAUUUAUGAGUAAGAGAACACCUAAAUUUAUUUGUUUACCUACUUGUUUUUGCCAUAAAAGCUCUCAUUUCUUUUCUUGGUGUAUUAAAUCUCCAUUUGCAUAUCCUUUAGUGCACCUUUGUGAUUCAUUCUAGCCUUGAGUUGUAUUUAAGCCUUUGUUGAGCUAGGUUGAGAGUUUCAUACUUGUUUAUUGAGUGUUAAAGCCUUCAAGUGAGUUAAAACUUGAAGAGAUUGUGUAAGAGCCCAUUGGAGUCGGAAUCCAAGUGUAAAGGUGAUUAAAAGCUUGGUUGAAGCUUCAAGUUAGUGGAACUCUCACUCGGUUAUGAGCUUGAGAAGAGUGGACAUAGACAAGGCAGUGUCGAACCACUAUAAAAUCUGAGUUUGAUUUCUCUAACCUUAUCUCUUUAUAUUUGCUUCUCUUGUGCUUAAAUUUUUUGUGUUUAAAAAGAAUUUUUAAAAACUCAAUUCACCCCCUUCUUGGGAGUUUUUCUCUUUUAAGAUCAGCUUUUAUUUUCUCAAUUGGUAUCAGAACUAUGCCUCUUGUUUAAGACUUAAUCGUCUAAGAGGAAAUGGCUAAUCCAUCAAGUUCAUCUCACAUUGAAAGUUUUGCAACCAAUAGACUUCUUUUUUUUUUUUUGCGGGAACUGAUUAUCCCUAUUGGAAAACUAAAAUGACUUGGUUUUUACAAUCAAUUGAUUUAGAUGUAUGAGAUGCCAUUGAAGAUGACCUAACUUUUCCUUCAAAACUAGUUGAUGGAGUCAUGGUUCCAAAACCUAAGCAAGAAUGGGAUGAGCGUGAUUGAAGAAAUUUUCAAUUAAAUGCUAAAGUCGUUUAUACUUUGCAAUGCUCUAUGGACAGAAAUGAAUAUAAUAGAAUAUGUCAAUGCAAAUCGGUUAAAGAAAUUUGGAGAUUGCUUGAAAUAACUCAUAAAGGAACAAAUCAAGUUAAAGAGUCAAAAAUCAAUUUACUUGUUCAUAGAUAUGAAUUGUUUUUUAUGAAAGAUAAUGAAACUAUUGUUAAGAUGAUCACUAGGUUCACCAACAUUGUUAAUGGUCUUAAAGCCUUGGGAAAGACCUACAAGGAAUCCGAAAACGUGAUGAAGAUCUUGAGGUCACUUCCAUCAAAGUGGCAUACCAAGGUCACCGCAAUUUAAGAAGCAAAAGACUUGAUCAAGCUACCUUUGGAGGAGUUCAUAGGGUCAUUGAUGACAUAUGAAAUCAAUUUGGCAAAGAAGUAACAAAAAGGUGAAGACAAAAAGAAGAAGAACAUAACUCUCAAAGCUACAACUAAGGAAGAAGAAGUUGAAGAAGAAAAACAAAUUGAAGAAGAUGAAGAUUUAGCCCUCAUCACAAGAAAGUUCAACAAAUUCAUGAGGGGUGAAAGGUUUAGAAGAAGAAGGUUCACUUCUAGAAGAGACUUUUCUAAAAAGGAAUCUUCAUCUAAUGGUGACAAAAAGAGAUGGGAAGAGAAAAGAGACUUGGUGUGUUUCAAGUGCAAGAAACCGGGACACAUUAAAUAUGAUUGUCCUCUCUACAAAAGUGAAGUCAAGAGGAAAAAGAAUAAGGCAAUGAUGGCCACUUAGAGUGAAAGUGAAGAUGAAUCAUCCGAAGAAGAAAAUGAGAAAGAAGUGGCAAACAUGUGUUUCAUGGCAAUAGAUGAACUUGAUGAGGUAAAAUCUAACCUUAGUGAUUAAGAUAUACAUGAUGCAUUUGAAGAAUUGUAUGAGGAUUUUUAAAAACUUAGUUUGAAAAAUAUUUCUCUUAAAAAGAAAGUUCAACAACUUGACAAAGAACUUAGAGAAGUAAAAGAAAAAUUUUCAAAUGUUAAAGUUUCUAAAACUCAUCUUGAAAAAGAAAAUGAGAUUCUAAGAAAGAAAAAUGAAUAGUUGAACUCCUCUCUUUCAAUCUUUUCUUCUAGACAAAAAUCUUUUGAAAUGAUUCUAACUAGCUAAAAAUGUGUUUUUGACAAACAAGGGUUAAGAUUUAAAUCUUCAAAAAAUCAAAAGUAUUUUAAAAACUAUUUUGUAAAGGAAUCCACAAGUGCAAGUCCUUCCACUACUUGCAACUUUUGUGGAAGAGAAUGGCACAUUAGUAGUACGCCCUUUAAGAAAUGGUUCUCAAAAGAAUUUAAAUGCAAAAACUAAAAAAGAUUUGGAUUGAGAAAUCCAAGGUCACUAACCCUCAAGGACCCAAAAAGAUAUAGGUACCUAAAUCAACUUGAGUUUUAUGUUGUAAGGUUCAAAGAAUGAUAAGUGGUUCUUAGAUAAUGGUUGCUCAAGACACAUGACCGGAGAUGAAUCCAAGUUUGCUUUUCUUAAAAAGAAAAAUGGAGGAUAUGUUACCUUUGGAGACAAUGCAAAAGAAAGGAUGAUUGGUCAAGGCAACAUUGGUAAUGGCACAUCCUCUCUCAUUGAAAGUGUUUUAUUAGUAGAUGGUUUCAAACAUAACCUUUUAAGCAUUAGUCAAUUUUGCGACAAAGGUUUUUAAGUGAUUUUUUAAGCAUCUCAUUGCAUCAUCAAGGAUAUUCAAAAUGAUAAAACCAUUUUCAUGGGCCAUAGAUGUGAUAAUGUUUAUGCUAUAAAUAUUUCAAAAUAUGAUGGCCAUGAUAGAUGUUUUUCAAGCAUGCAUGAUCAAAGUUGGUUGUGCCAUAGGAGAUUGAGACAUGCUAACAUAGACCUCAUUUCCCAACUCAACAAAGAUGAACUUGUUAGAGGCCUUCCCAAAAUAAUUUUUUAAAAAGAUAAAGUUUGUGAAGCUUGUCAAGUGGGAAAGUAAAUCAAAAACUCUUUUAAAAACAAAAACUUCAUUUCCACAUCUAGGCCACUUGAGUUGUUGCAUAUGGAUUUAUUUGGUCCCUCUAGGACACCAAGUCUUAGAGGAAAUUCUUAUGCAUAUGCUAUUGUGGACGACUUCUCUAGAUACACAUGAGUCUUGUUUUUUAGUCAAAAGAAUAAAGUUUUUUAUGAGUUUUCAAAGUUUUGCAAUAAGAUUCAAAAUGAAAAAGGUUUUUCAAUUACUUAUAUAAGAAGUGAUCAUGGGAGAGAAUUCGAAAAUAUUGAUUUUGAAGAGUAUUGCAAUGAGCAUGGAAUUGACCACAAUUUUUUGGCUCUUAGAACUCCUCAACAAAAUGGGGUAGUUGAAAGGAAAAAUAGAACUCUUCAAAAAAUGACAAGAACCAUACUAAAUGAAAACAACUUACCAAAAUAUUUUUAGGCCAAAACGGUUAACACUUCUUGUUAUGUUUUAAAUAGAGUAUUAUUGAGGCUCAUACUUAAGAAAACUCCCUAUGAGCUUUGGAAAAACAAAAAACCCAACAUUAGUUAUUCCAAAGUCUUUGGAUGCAAUAUUUUAUAAUAAACACCAAAGACAAUCUUGGAAAAUUUGAUGCAAAAUUGGAUGUUGGAAUUUUCCUUGGUUACUCAACUUCAAGUAAAGCUUUUCGAGUUUUAACAAAAGAACCAUGGUUGUAGAGGAGUCCAUCCAUGUUAUUUUUUAUGAAUCUCCAAGAAAGAGAGAGGAUUGAUGAUGAUUUAGGUUUGAAGACCUCUAUAGGAAGAUUGCAAAUCGAAGAUAGAAGACAACAAGAAGAAAAUGGAGAGAAUCCAAAGAAAGAAGGAUCACCAUUGGCACUACCCCCUCAUCAACAAGCGCAAGGUGAAUCAAGUCAAGAGCUUCCUAAAGAAUGGAAGUUUGUCAUCAAUCACCCACAAGAUCAAAUUAUAGGCAAUCCAUCUAGUGGGGUAAGAACUAGAUCCUCUCUUAGAAAUAUUUGCAAUAAUCUAGCUUUUAUCUCUCAAAUUGAGCCUAAAAAUAUAAAUGAUGUUUUAGAUGAUGAAAAUUGGAUAAUUGCAAUGCAAGAAGAGUUAAAUCCAUUUGAAAGAAGUGGAGUAUGGGAAUUAGUACCAAGACCUUCAAAUCAAAGUGUUAUUGGAACUAGAUGGAUCUUUAGAAAUAAAAUGGAUGAAAAUAGCAUAAUUGUUAGAAAUAAAGCAAGAUUGGUAGCCCAAGGUUUUAAUCAAGAAGAAAUGAUAGAUUAUGAAGAAACCUUUGCCCCCGUAGCUAGGUUGGAAGCCAUUAGGAUGCUACUUGCCUUUGCAUGUUUUAAAGACUUUGUUUUAUAUCAAAUGGAUGUGAAAAGUGCUUUUUUAAAUGGUUUUAUAAAUGAAGAAGUAUAUGUUGAACAACCACCCGGUUUUCAAAGUUUCAACUUUCCUAACCAUGUUUUUAAACUUAAAAAGACACUUUAUGGUUUGAAACAAGCACCUAGAUCAUGGUAUGAAAAAUUGAGUAAAUUUCUUUUGAAAAAAAUGUUUUAAAAUGGGAAAAAUUGACACAACUCUUUUUAUAAAAACCAAAGAAAAUGAUAUGCUCUUAGUUCAAAUAUAUAUUGAUGAUAUCAUUUUUGGUGCUACUAAUGUCUCUCUUUAUGAAGAAUUUUCUAAGUGCAUGCAUAGUGAGUUUGAAAUGAGCAUGAUAGGAGAACUCAACUUCUUCCUUGGACUUCAAAUCAAGCAACUAAAGGAAUGAACCUUCAUCAAUCAAGCAAAGUAUAUAAGAGAUCUUCUCAAAAGGUUCAACAUGGAAGAAGCCAAAACAAUGAAGACUCUAAUGAGCUCAUCCAUUAAGCUUGAUAAGGAUGAGAAAGGUAAAUCCAUUGACUCUAUUAUGUAUAGAGGCAUGAUAGGUUCUUUGCUCUAUUUGACCACUAGUAGACCUUACAUUAUGUAUAGUGUGUGUUUGUGUACUAGAUUUCAAUCUUGUCUUAAAAAAUCUCACUUAAGUGUCGUGAAAAGAAUCCUCAAAUAUUUGAAAGGGACAAUGGACAUAGGCUUAUGGUAUCCUAAGAGUGAUAACUUUGAAUUAAUUGGUUUUUUGGAUGCUGAUUUUGUCAGUUGUAGGGUUGAAAAAUAAAACACUAGUGGCACUUUUCAUUUCUUAAGACACUUACUUGUCUCAUGGCAUAAUAAGAAGCAAAAUUUGGUAGCUUUGUCAACAGCAGAAGCUAAAUACAUAGCAACUGGUUUAUGUUGUGCACAAAUCCUUUGGAUGAAAUAAACACUUAGUGAUUUUGAUUUAUCUUUUGAGCAUAUUCCUAUUAAAUGUGAUAAUAGUAGUGCCAUAAGUAUAUCAAAAAAUCUCGUGCAACACUCUAGGACUAAGCAUAUAGAGAUUAGACAUAAUUUUCUUAGAUAUCAUACACAAAAGGAUGAUAUAACACUUGAAUUUGUAAGCAUAAAAGACCAACUUGCCGAUAUCUUUACAAAACCUCUAAGAACAUUUUGUUGAUAUUAGAGGACAAUUAGGAGUGAUUUCUUUAUGAUCUAAUGUGAUGAAUUCUUGAUGAAUAUACUUUUUGAUUGCAUGAAUUUCAUGUCAUAUAUGCAUCAUAUAGAAAUAUACUUAGAUAAUGGUCAAAUUUCGACCAAAAAUCAAAAUUCCCAUGGCAUUAGGCAUAAAAAUUUUGGAAUUUCAACUGAAAAUGGUAGGAGGAGGAUCACAAAAUGAGAAAGUAUGCAAAAAUUGAAAAAUCAAAACGUUGACCAAGCGGUCAAUCGGACUAGACCGAUCGACUAGUUUGUCGAGAUUUAGGAUUUUUAAGAGACUCCAACGCUUCAAUUUUUGCACCGUUCUCCUCUAUUUCUUCACGGUUUCUCUGAUUUUGUCUUUUAGAGACUAAUUUGAGUGCGUUUUGGAUCAAUUGAAGCAUUUUGGAUUGGAUUUUAGGAAGAUUGAAAGUUAAGGUUUCGGAUUUGGGUCGCCUUCUCUUCCUCUCGCGUGUCACAAUCAGCUUUAGCAUUGUUCUCUUUCCAUUUUCACACACCUAGGGUUUCAGUUGUGAGCAUCUCUCUCUCUUUACCAACCACUACUCCCUUGCUUCUUCCAUAUGGCUCCUAGGCGAGAGUCCGCUACUUCUAGGGCACAAGGCAAGCACCCAACUGAGUCGUCUCAGUCAAAGGCACGUCGAAAAGUGAGAUUUGACAUUGCCUUGUUCAGUUCCAUGGAGGACUACCAACUAUACAAGCAACACUUUGCUUAGAGACGAGUAGUUCCCAAGAGAAAUAUUAAUUUUCCUCAACUUCAGCAUUUCGAAUUUAAGGGUCUAUUUACUAGGAUGGUUGGUUGUCUAUUGUCACAAUUUCGGAGCCGGUUUUCCUGACCUUAGUGCGAGUUUUUUACUCGAGGGCGACUUAUGGCAUGGGUGGCAUGAUCAUUUCUACUGUUGGAGGAGUUGAGAUCUGUCUGGACCCAGAGAGCAUCUGCCAUAUUUUCGAUAUUGCUCUGGUUGGACUCAAAGUAUACAAGUCCAAAAUGUGGCCCAUUGUGCCAGGAUUUGAGCUUAGAGAGGUCAUUCAGAGGAUUUGUGAACUUCCAGACGCCCAGGAGAUGGGCAAACCAUUGCCACACAGUUUGACGGUCAUCAACAGGGUGCUACACCAUAUAUUGUGCUCUAUCUUUCUACCACGAAGUGGACAUUGAGAUGAGGUCUCUUAUUAUGAGGCAUUCCUUAUUGACUCCAUUCUAACGGAGAGACGAAUUCAUCUACUAUGUCAUCAUUCACUAAGCCUCCUCACAGUGACAUACCACCUCAUCAGGCACCUCUUGCUCCUGACCAUGCUCCAUUGAUGGAUUUAUUUACUCAUAUUAGCUCUCUAGGCACUCGCAUGAAGGAGUUUGUUGUAGUUAGUGAUACAUGGUUCUACUCCAUAGAGGAUCGCAUGGAUCAGUAUCAGACUGGCUUCACGUCACAGUUUGAGUAUCUCCAAUAGAGGAUUGAGCAUAUUGAGGAUCACUUGAGCAUGAGAAGAUGAUGGCUUUUCUAUGCUCUGUGUUUCCACCUCCACCUCGUCAACCUUGAUUUCUUAGAGACCCAUUGUUUUCAUUUUGUAAUGUUGCCAAAAGGGGGAGAUAUUUAGGAUCUAGGACUCUAUAGGAGACUUACAUGCAUAUCAUUUUCAUAUCAUUGUUUGGAUCGUACAUAUUGGAUAGUGAUACUUUUUACUUAUAUAUGAUAUGCCUAUAUGUUUCAUGUCUUACAUUGUUUCUUAUUGCAAAUUAUCUCUAACAUGUCUUGAUUAUCUUUUUUUUAACUUCAUAAAUUUUGAUUGUUAACCCAUGAUUGGUUUGAGGGGAAGAUUCUUCUUCUCCUAGAUAACCAAGGUUUGUCAUCAUAAAAAAAUUGGAGAUUGUUAGCCCAAGGGUUCUCCUAAUCAUGUUUUGAUGAUAACAAACCAUGCUUAAGUUACUAAUUGGUUUGAAUUAUAAAGAAUUUCAAGUGUUAAUUUGAAAAUUCAUCAAAGAACCUAAUGGAUGCAAGAUCAAGAUUUUUGGAAGACCUUUAAUCAUAAGAAACAUAUGUAAGAUGAAUGCAUGGGUGCACUUAAGAUUUGCAUAUCAUUUCAUGCAUAUUUGGAAAACACGGUUUAUGCUUUAAAGUUACAUUUCCAUCAAAAUUUGAGAUCCAUCAAAUGAACCUUAGGAAAAAUGUUUUAAAAUUGGCAUAUAAUUUUACCUAAAGACCUUGCCUAAGUGUUAGAAGCAAAAGGACAAAAAAAAUAUAGGUUUUCUGGUCAAAAAUGGUGAACCAGUCAAGGCAUUGUCUAAAUCAGCUCAAUCGGCCAAGGUACCGGUCGAUCGGUUUCCCUUUCCCUGUCGAGAUCUAGUCAAGAGGUACAAAAAUCACAAUCUCUGUCUCUUUCUCUCUUUGUCUAUCUUCCAGUAGUCUUUCCUUCCCGGUCGAGGGAUUUGCCUUCCCGAUUGAGGUCCGAUUGAGAGUAAUAGUCACUUGCCAAAUAUUAAAUGCUCCAACAGUUAGUGAACUGGUCGACCCCCACCUUGCCCAGUUGAGGUUACUUUUUGGUUUUCUUGGCUCCCGAUGUUAGAAACCUAUAAAUAGAGAGUUCCACUUCAUUUAUGAGCAAGAGAACACUUGCAUUUAUUUGUUUACCUACUUGUUCUUGCCUUAAAAGCUCUCAUUUCUUUUCUUGGUGCAUUAAAUCUCCAUUUUGAUAUCCUUUAGUGCACCUUUGUGAUUCAUCUUAGCCUUGAGUUGUAUUUGAGCCCUUUUUUUAGCUAGGUUGAGAGUUUCAUACUUGUUAAUUGAGUGUUAAAGCCUUCAAGUGAGUUGAAACUUGUAGAGAUUAUGUGAGAGUCGAUUGGAGCCGAAAUCCAAGUGUAAAGGUGAUUAGAAGCUUGGUUGAAGCUUCAAGUUAGUGGAAUCCUCACUCAAUUAGGAGCUUGAGGAGAGUGGACGUAGCCAAGGAAGUGUCGAACCACUAUAAAAUUUGAGUUUGAUUUCUCUAACAUUGUCUCUUUAUAUUUGUUUAUCUUGUGCUUAAAUUUAUUGUGUUUAAAAAGAAUUUUUAAAUACCCAAUUCACCCCCCUCUUGGGUGUUUUUCUCUUUUAAAAUUAGCCUUUAUUUUCUCACAAACUAUUGUAGUAUAGUGGUUUUUAGGUGUCAUCCAUUAGGAUGAAUUGUUCUCGGUAAUUAAGGCGUGAAUGAGAGGAGAAUUAAUGAUUGUGAUUAAGUAAAAUUGAUUUGAAAAUUCAUGGUGAAAAAUCAAUUUAACAAUGGUUUCUAAUUGAGAAAAACAAUGAAAUGUGAAAUAAAAUAAAAUUAAUAGGAAAUGAAAUUCUCGAAGUUAGAAUUUUCUAAAAAACAAAUUCCAUGGUGAAUGGAUGUUGAGAUCUAAUUUUCAUCAAGUUAGAUUGAAAACCGAAAUUUUCAUAUAAACUGAUUUUUUAUUUAGUUUUAGGUCUAGAUUUAAUUUCCCUUAAAAUUAGGUUAUUUAAUCCAAGAAAUCAAUUCAAAUCAUAUAUUCAAUUCAUCUUAAAUUAUCUUCCAAUUAUUCACACAAUGCAACUAUUCAAUCUCAUCAAAUCUAGCUUUUAAGAAUUUAAUGAAUCUACCUAGUUUGCAUUGUAAUAGUCAUCCAUGACAAUUUGAAGAGAAAAAUAAUUCAAUUAAUCAAUCACUUGGAUCAAAUUACCUUUGCAAUUAAAGUUCAUUUCUCUAAUUCACCACAGAUUUUGUCUCUAGAUCCUCCUUUCUCAAAGAAAAAUGAGAUUUAGCCACACAUGAUUGGAGAUUUGGUCUCAUAAGGCAUGUUUAGCUAGUGAUAAAAUGAGAGAAAAUAAAGAAAAAUAGAGAAUUCGAUUAAGAAAGAAAAUCUAAAAAAUUCUACAAUUAGAAAUGUCCAAAAAGCUUUUUCAUGAGAAAAUCAAGUUUCUAUUUAUAGGCCAAGGUCAAGUGGACACUUGACAUCAUCUAAGAGGUCUUCCGGAAGCUUCUUCAUCAAGAAAUCUGGAGUUUAAUAAUAAAAUGGUCAUUUCACAAGAGCUCAAACAAUUUCGCAUGAUUAUGUGAAAUAAAAAAUGCAACAACAGCAAUUUACAUCUUCUUGGAGCAUUUCGCAUGACUGUGUGAAAUUUUCACAUGAUCAUGUGGAAUCGACUUGACAACUCUCAUUUAGCCUACAACAUAAUUCCACCUUUUGGUCCAUUUUUCAUAGUCAUGCGAAAUGGAAAUAUUUGAUUUUUAAGUUUUCUUUUGUCAUUUCUUUCAUUUCCUUCUCUUGAUUCCACUUCAACUACCUCCGAAUCCUGGUCCAAACCAAUUGCAUUACUUCUUUCAUUAUGCAUUUGGAUCAUCAUCAACAUUAUUUGUUCUCUUCAAUUUGAUUCAUCUCUUUUGUCACCAAUUUAUCAAAAUCAUACCUUGAAAUGACUCCAAAACUUCAUAAAACUUGUUAGUAACUCUUGCAAGGGCAACAACAUAUUAAUUAAGUGUUUUAGGCAUAGUUACUACUCAAAAGAUGCGAAACUCAUGAUAAUUAUUAUAUAAAAUAUGCUCUUUUUGAGUAGUAAUCAACUUUCUUGCAUAAGCAGACCUUUUAGGGUGGAGUACUAAAGACCAAUAUGCUUGUCCUUGUUGUAAUAAAGAAACUUGCUCUUAUUGAUUGCACCAUGGGAGAAAAUUUUGCUACAUGAGUUAUCAUCAAUUUCUUCCCACCAAUCAUAGAUUUAGACGUGACAAGAGGCCUCUUAAUGGCAAGGAGGAACUGACACUCACACUUAUACAAUUAUCGGGCAUUGAUGUGUUGCAACAAUUAGAAUAACUUACACCAAUUAUGUUGGGGAAGUCACAAAAGGCAAACAUGAAAACUAAAAGGAAAAAAGAAAAAUGUUACAUAUCACCACAACUGGAAAGAAAAAAGUAUUUACUUUCAUUUGCCAUAUUGGAAAGCACUUAUUUUACAUCAUAAUAAUUUAGACAUAAUGCAUAUUGAGAAAAAUGUGUGACAAUAUAAUUGAGACAUUGUUCAGUAUUGACGAAGAAACAAGGACAACCUAAAUAGUCAUCUCGAUUUACAAGCUCUAACUAUUAGAAAUGAGAUUCACCCAAUAGAAAGCAGGACCAAAUUUAUUUUGCUUGCAACAUGCUACUCACUCACCCCAAAUGAGAUUAAGGAAUUUUGCAAGUUUUUGAAAUCAAUAAAGGUCCCCAAUGGCUAUUCUUUCAAUAUCUCUCGUUAUGUGCAACUCAAUGAAAGGAAGAUAUAUGAGCUCAAAUUGUAUGAUUGUCAUGUCCUAAUGCAACAACUUCUCUCACUUGUAGUUCGUGGAGUUCUACAUAAGAAUGUUUGUGGAGUUAUCAUAGAAUUGCGUAAUUUUUUCAAGCAAUUGUGCUCAAAGGUGUUAGAAACAAAUCACUUACACCAACUUGAGAACAAUAUUAUUGUCAUACUAUGUAAAAUGGAGCAAAUAUUUCUUCCAUCAUUCUUUGAUAUUAUGGUGCAUUUACUUGUGCAUCUAGUAAGGCAAAGGUUGCAAGACUUGUGCAAUAUUGUUGGAUGUACCUAAUUGAACGAUAUUGUUAUAAUUUCAUAUGAAUCAUUUAAUUUUAUUUUAUAUUAUGUUCAGUUCAUUAACAUGUACAUUGGUCUACAUAUGGAUGAUGAUAGGUACCUAAGCACUUUAAAGUCAUAUGUGCGUAAUAGAACUUUUCUAGAAGGUUCUAUUGUAGAAAGGUACCUUGCAAAAGAAUGUACAACAUUUUAUUCUAGGUACUUGAAUGAUGUGGAAAUAAAGUAUAAUCACAAUGAUAGAAACUUUGUUGGUUUCAACACUAGAGGAGAUGAAAGGGGUUAUCUUUAAACAUAUUGGACAUGCAUUGGGAAAGCCCAUAUUUCAUUAACUUAGUUCAAAAGAGUGGUCACAAGCACAUUUAUAUGUGUUGACAAAUUGCGAAGAUGUCAUACCAUUCAUUGAGUAAAAAAUUUAUUUGAAUUUUAAUUAAAGCUCUAGUUUAUAUCCUUAAUCAAUGUUUUUUAAAUUCACAAGGAGCACAAGCAAACCAUCAAGGCUAGACCACAUAUACGUGUUUGAGACGUAGAUUUAAUUCAUAACAAGGAAUUUAUCAAGUGGUUUGAAAGACAUGUAAGUAUAUUCCUUAUUAUAAGGGAUUUAUUUCACAUUAUGUUUAUAUUGAAUCCAAACCUAUUAUUGAAUUGUAGGUUGAACAAUUACAUAAUGAAGGUCAUAUAUCUGAACACCUUCUCACAUUAUCAUGUGUUCCAAAUUCAUUAGUUACAUGCUUCAAAUGAUAUAUUGUCAAUGGAUUUAGAUCCCACAUUAAAGAACGUGAUAAAAAAGUUUUUAAAAAAAGACUCAGAAUAAUGGAAUUGUUGUAGUUGCAAAAACGUCAAGCUUUACAAGUGCAUGUGAUAUGAGUCCAAUUAUUAGUGAUGCUCUCUACUAUGGUGUUCUAACUAAAGUUGUUGAGUUACAUUAUCUUGGUGAAAAUAAGGUUGUUUUAUUCGAGUUUGAUUGGUGGGAUGUUACAAAUAUUGGAAAAUUGAUAAAAGAUGAUGAGUACAAUUACACAUUUGUUAACUUUGCAUGAAUUCUAACCACGAACGAACGAUUUGUACUUGCAUCUCCAGCAAAGUAAGUGUUCUAUGUGAAGAAUGCGAAUGAAUCAGAUUGGCAUACUAUCAUGGAGAUGCAACCUCAAGACCUCUAUAAGAUGAACGGGAUAGGAUCCAAUGGUGAUUUUGAACCAUUUCAACAAAGUGAACUACAUGAUCACUAAUAUAUCUCAGAUUUAGUUGAUGAAGAUAUAAUCAAGUGGAACAAAAGUGAUGUUUUAGGACUAAUCAUCCUAAAAAAUAUUGUAGUUUCUUAAAAAAAAAAUGAAAAUGAAGAAGAUAAUUGAACCUUUGUCAUACUUUAAAAAGCAACUAUGCAUUGUUCAUUUUGUAUGUUUUGGUUUUCUUCAUUUAAUUUCCUGAUUUUUGUGAUUCAAUGUCAUAUUAUUGAUCUUGAAAUAUUUUUCUAAUUUUUCAUUCUACGAUGGUUUCAACAAGGAUGACAUCAAGUCAAAAAAGGAAAUGUGGUCCCACACACAAUAUUGCAUUACAGGGAUUAAGGUCAGGGAAGAAGGUAAAAGUUGCAUUUAAUGAGUACAAUCAAUUGGUUAAACAGAAAAAUGGAAAACACUUAUCGAGCUACAUAGGGACACUUGUAUCUAACCAACACAAUGUACCUCUCCAAGCUAGUGAUUGGAAAAAUGUUCCAAAUGAUGCAAAAGAGAAAGUAUGGCCUUUGUUUUGGUAUGUUGUAUUUCUCACUAUAUGAUGUCAUUUCACUGUUAUUCUAUUUUGUGACUAACGUUUGAAUCAUAUGUAAGAAAAAUUUGAAGUAGAUAAAGACUGAAAAGAUUACAUGUUGGGUAUAGCCUCAAAUAAAUAUAGAAGCUAUAAAAAUAUGAUGAAUGCAAAAUACUAUGACCCUUGGCAUAAGGAUGCAUGAGGAGAGGUUAAUACAUAAAUCACCAUUUGUCUCUGAUGUUGAUUGGAAGUGGCUUGUCUCUGAUGCAUAAACCAAAUCCCCCACUGAAUGUUUGAUAUUUGAUAGCAGGAAAAACACACCCGCAGCUAUACACCUCCAUCAUUCAGAUAAUUAUAGUGGGGGAGAUGAUUCAUGGUUGCCCUUAUACCCUUUAUUUGCACCAUCUAUUGAGAUUCUUUAUCAUGGCCAGGUUUUACUGCAGCAAUAAGAUAUGGUGGCAACAAUUUUAUCUAUAGGUGCGGUUCCAGACCGCCUCCAUAGGUGCGGUUCCUGACUGCCUCCAUAGGUGCCUCUUCUUGUAAUGUUUGUUCUGGGAAUUACACUUGAAAGCCUUAUCGUGAUAAGGGAUUACAAACACUAGUUCAGAGGACAGCCAUGUUAAACUUCCACUAUGUUUGUGUCACAUUAUCAGCAGCCUAGUGUUUAUUGGUCAUGCUAUCUGCAACUAAUAUAACCCGGUGAACUUCAAUCUAAAUUCUGAAAGUACUCAUGUGACAGAUGGUGCCUUUCAGCAGAUAUCAUCAAUUUAAAAGUAGUGUGUGUGCCUAUAGGUGGGAAGGCCUUGGCAAAUGUUCAGUAUUCCGGUAAUUCAAGAAGGAUAUAUCUAAAAUAGAUUUUCUUCUUGCCCAUUUCAAUAGUUAAAAUUUGAGAAGAUUGUGUCCACAUCACACAAAUAUUAUUGGUCCUUCUGUUGCAAUUUACCUCUGAACAUGUCUUCCAAUUCCCACGGUCCUGUUACUCCAGGAAAACUAUUUCGGUCAUAUUGAAAAAAAAAAUAUUAAAGAAGGUACACAUGCUUUUAAGUGGACUGGGGCAUUCAUAUCAGGUGGUCUGUAUCCACAUAUGCCACUUCGUGAAAGGUGGAACAGCCUAAUCACUAGGCUAUUUAGUGUGGCCCAGCCACGUUAAUCAAGCACAAGUCUUCAUACUUAAAGUCAAAUGGUGUCUUUAGUCUCAUUACACAUCGCUAUUUGAAGAUUAACUCAUCACUAGUGUAAUGCGAUUAAGACAGUCCUAACUCAAUAUUUGUUCUAGUUUUGGAUGCAAAUGCUUGCUGGUUUCAUCAUUGGAUGGGAUAAAGGUGCAAUCAGGACUAUGAAUACGUGCAGUAAUACUUCAUUCUCUUUUUUCUCAAUGAGACUUCUUGGCACAAUUUUGCUGCUCAGCAACCUACCUUUCCAUGGAAAAUCAGUUGUGACUGAUAGUAAUGGAUAUAUUCUAGAAAGCUAAACAUAGAUAGCAUUCAAUAUUAUCGAUAUAACAUUAACAGCGUAUGUCUCAAUGCUCAUCAGCUACAAGCAAUGGACAAACACUUUGAGUAACUCACAGCAGUCAAAAUUCCUAAACAGGACAGACGUGACAGAUCUAUAUAUAGAACACUGCAUAUGAGUCACAGGAAAAGAUAAUACGGGUACAUAGAAGCUCUUAUUUUACAUAUUACUCAUACUGAUCAAAGUCGCUCAGUUGGGAUGGAUGGGAGAAGGAGGUUUGAGGGGUGGCUUGUGCGGGGAAGUUGGCAGCUUCUUUCCGGGAGCUGGUUGCUUCUUUGCUGGAGUUGAAGGAGGCUUAAUCUUCCGAGGUGGCUUGUAUGAGUCUUCAGCAUUCUCAGCAGGAGGGUGACCAGGGUUGUGACCAUAAUGUGGUGGCUUCUCUCCCUUAGGUGGUUUGCCAACUGGGGUUGGUGGCUUGUUUUCUGGGAGUGGCUUCUCUCCCUUGGGUGGUUUGCCAACUGGGGUUGGUGGCUUGUGUUCUGGGAGUGGCUUCUCCCCCUUGGGAGGUUUUUCGAAUGGGGUGGGUUUGUGUCCUGGUGGUGGCUUCUCUCCCUUGGGAGGUUUACCAAUUGGGGUCGGUGGCUUGUGUUCUGGGAGGGGCUUCUCUCCCUGGGGAGGUUUAGUGGGUGGCUUGUGUUCUGGAGGUGGCUUCUCCACCGGAGGCUUAUGCUCUGGUGGUGGCUUCUCGAAGGGGGGAUGCUCAGGGUAAUCACCAAGUGAGGGGGUGGUGAGAACCACCAUGCCAAGCAACAACACUAGCAAGUAUGUAGUAGACAUCUUUGGGUUUGGACUCAGACAGUGCAAAACUACGAGAAAUCGCUAGCCCUUUAUAGCGGCUCGGACCUAAUACUGACAUAAUAUAAAAUAAAUAUUAUAUUUUAUCAAGAGAGAACAGAGUGUAAUUUUAUCAUUAAUACCGAUCGAGGCCAAAGAAAGAAGACCCAUAAUCCAUUUCCCACAAGCAUACACAAUGCAGCUGUAAUUUUAUCAUUUACUUUUAUCCCUUGGACCACUGCAUUUUUGUUGAGAGACACAAUAACACAUUUUUAUCUGUCAUUCAACAUUUACAGUAAAGAGAGGGCACAAAACGCAAUUAGAUAAAUUAUGUUUUGCCUGCUAAAAAGAGGCAAAUAACUUUAUUUGCAACAUAAUUAUUUUGGUUUCUAGUGACCCCGGGGCCUUUCGGUUGGUUUGGGAUCGGAAAAUGAACAUCAUAGGGGGGGUUGUGCCCUUAUGGGCAUAUAUAUCUGAUAGCUUCAACUGGCCUUGUUCCUAGAAAGAAAUUGCCAAAGAUAUAAACUUAUUCCAGGCUGAAAGUAGAUGAGAGUCAUAAUGAACAUCAACCUUUGUUCAGUUUGAUUCAAUGCCCCCAUAGUGUUCAUUUCACAGAUCUGAAUGAUUAUAUCCGUUGAAUACAUAAAUUAAUGAAGACAAAUAUGAAACCCAAGAUACAUCUCUGCAUAACAACCCCAACCCUGGUUGCUAUGUUUCCCUUCUUCUAUUCACAUGAGGAUACUGGUUAUAAUUGUCAAACUUGCAACAAGCCCUUUGACACCUAACGUCAAUGGACGAAUUAAAAGUCUCCUUCAAACGUCUAUUUCACAGCAUGAAGCUUAUAAAGGAUGCUGACAACCUUCAGAGUUAGCGACAAAAGAUAAUUAUCAAGGAGAGAUAGUUCCAUGAGAAUUCCAAGGAGUCUGAAUCAAAGACAAAUUGCUCACUCAAGGGUUCUUAUUUUCUUUUAGGUACAAAUCUCUUGAGUGUUGUUAAAGAAACACGUCACUGUCAUUUUGAUUUGCAUUUAACAUUUCACUUUUGUUCUGGAAGGUUUGUUCCGGAAACAUAUCAAAUGAGCAUCAUUUUCUUCUUCGGUGACACAUGGUCGCGAGUACGUGGGUCCAUUUUCAUGCCACUUAGUUGAAAAGUUGGAAAGAAAAAACAUGCCAACAAGAAGAUAGUGAGAGAAGGGGCACUUCAAGCCUUUAACAUGAACAAACAGUAAAUAAAAGAUGUUUCUCCACUCAUAAAAGUGUGUUAGAUAGCAAUAUAACGAAUCACAUCCAAAAUCUUUACUAGGCUCAAACAUAAAGAAGACUCAUUUUUAAGAAAAGAUAAAAAUGGCAUUGUCUGAUAGUAUCCAAUACACGAGAUGGCACUUAAUUUGUACAAGAUCUGUCAAUGCUGACGCACAUUUUCUGAUUAAAAAAAAACUGAUCAGUCAAAAGCAAUGAAGAGAAGUGAUGACAAUGAAUGAUGCUUCCAAUAUUUUCACCCCUUAUAGUGUUCUUCAUGAUUCAGAUAUAUAAUUGGAAAUAGAACAACCCUAUGCCAUACAUUCGUCUAAGUAUGGUGUCUAAUUUUUUGUGUCAGCGGUUGCGAAUGGAGCGUGCAAAAGUCCAAAUUGGCGUCUCUCCAUUUCCACAUAGGAAGGUGACCUUUAUUGACAAAUACCCAAUAUUUGUAGACAUUCCUUAAAUAUCAUAACUUCUUGUUGAUUUGAAAAUCAUUUUUCAACUACCAUGUUUUAAUAAAUAUUUUUUAAAAUGUAUUUUUAUCAAAGUCCACCAUGAUGGAUAAUAUUCACCAUGCAAUAAUUAAUAAAGUACAAACUAAGCGAAAUGAAAAGCAUUUUCUUUGCUUUGAGUUGAUUUUGGUUGCAUUGAGUUGAUUUUGGUUUCAUGGUUUUUUCAACUCUUAUUUUGAUUGGAAGAUGUCAAGAAAAGAAAACAUAAAGAAAAAUUAAAAGGGAAAAAAGAAGAAAAAUAAAAAAAAAUAGAUUUAAAAGUUAAUAAAUUAUUUUUUAUAUUUAUUUUAAUUCAUUUCACUUAUUUUUCUUUUACUAUAUAAAAUUUAAAUAAUUUAAAUUUUAUAAUUAAUUUAAUUACAUUUCAUUUUCUUCUAUAUUUAAAUAUUGGAAAAAUAUUUUACUUAAUAUUUUUUUCUUUAAUUUCUUUGGCAUUUUGGGAACCAAACUUAGCCUUUAAAAUAAAAAACAAAAAAAAAAUGAAAAUAAGGAGGGAAAAGUGAGAAAAGAUAAAAACAAUAUGUAAAGGAUUUGAAAAGUAUUAGUUUGUAAUUACUAUUUGGAUUUCAAUAGUAUUUUAUUUGUCUUUCUAUAUUUCAUGUAAGAGAGAAUUUAAGAUAUUCCCCAAGGCAAAGCAUUAGUUACCUGCAAUCAGUGGUGAUAAGGCUCCAAGCCAAUUUUGGGCCCCAUAUCUUAAGACAGUACAAUUUCCAUUUCAACAUUUCUGAUUUCUCAGAUGUUUCACAUACCACAGAAGAACAUUGUUUGUGAAAAUAUGCAUUUAUGUUGGAUUUUGUAUGCUGUGGGGACUGGGGCAAGGAUCAUAUGGAAGAGUGGUUGACUUUUUCUGUACUUUAACGGUUGAAAUAGGAUAAGCACGGGCAUUUGUGAGGCUUAAUUGAUUUUGAAGCCUGAAAUUGCGUUUCUGUCAUUUUGUCAAAAAAAUGGCAGAUUCCAUACUCAUAUGUUUGGCCUGUGGCCAUGUACAGAUGCCAUUUAGUGACCAGUUUGUAACUGUCAAUCGUUGCGUUUUGACUCUGCCUCAACAACAUCUGCCAUUGACGGGUUUUCAUACUUGCAAAUCAAAUAGUCUUUCGUCCCAUCAGGAAUUUCGGUUUAAAUAUUAUUAAGCAUACGUUUGGCUGACAAUCAUUAUCCAGUUCAUGAUUUGGUUUCUUACCCUUAAUCAAUGGUUUCUAAGUGAAUAUAUGUAGAAGGAAAUCCGAAGUGUAGACAGUAGUAUCGAUAACUCUCAAUAUUCUCUAUAUAAUAGAAUAAACAGCGUCAUAGUGAUCGUCGCCUACAAGCAAGGUACAAAUACCAAAACGAGUGACUCACAUAGACAUCUCCCAACAAGAUGUAGUAGUGACUGACACAUGGACACAAUUAACUCGUAGAAAAGGAUAAGACCAUUGCACAGCAGCUCUUAUUUUACAUACUACUUAUGCUAACCAAAGUCAAUUAGUUGGGAUGGGUGGGAGAUGGAGGUUUGUGCGGUGGCUUGUGGGGCGGAGUUGAUGGCUUCUUUCCAGGAGCUUCUGGCUUUUUCAUCGGAGCUGAAGGAGGCUCAAUCUUAUGAGGCGGCUUGUAUGAGUCUUCUUUACUCUCGACAGGAGGGUGGCCAGGGUUGUGAUCAUAAUGUGGUGGCUUCUCUCCCUUAGGUGGCUUGCCAACUGGGGUUGGUGGCUUGUGUUCAGGAAGUGGUUUCUCUCCCAUGGGAGGUUUAGCAAUUGGGGUUGGUGGCUUGUGUUCUGGGAGUGGCUUCUCUCCCUUGGGAGGUUUAGUAGGUGACUUGUGUUCUGGAGGUGGCUUCUCCACCGGAGGCUUGUGCUCCGGUGGUGGCUUCUUGGUUGGAGGGGGCUUGGGGUAAUCAGCAAGAGAUGGGGUGGUGAGAACCACCAGUCCAAGGAACAACACUAGCAAGUAUGUGGGAGACAUUUUUGAGUUUGGGCUGAUCAGAUGAUGCAAAACUAAAGCAUUACGUGACCUUUUAUAGCAUGUAGCUCCCAAUACCCACUAAGUAUUGUGGGGUCCAUUUGUGCCCUACGGGGUUGAAAACUUAGACAAUUGGGCAAGGACCCACCUGACUAUGGAGGACUAGUGAGGUGUGAUCAUAGCUUUAGGAUUUUUCUUCCUCUGCAGCCGUCGUGCCGUUGGCAUGAUUUUCUUAAUCUUAAAUAAAGGCAUAGUUAUAGAGUUGUUUAAUCUCUAAAUGGGAUUUUAUAUAUAUCUUCAGAUAGCCAUUAAUAUAUUUGAUGAAGAAAGAAAGACAAGUGCAUACAACAUGUAUACGACUAGCUUUCAUGGAGUUCAUUUAUGAUCAGUUUUCCUGUACAUGUAAACCAGGAUCAUAUAUAUGUUUCUGUUCCACAACUAUUUUGGAAUCUUGUUUAUCAGUUUUUAUCAUUAUAAUGUCACAUAGGCUGCCAACUUGGGCGCUAAAAGAACCAGUUGGGCUAGUUCGUUUCAGAAUUUCAAUGUGGAUUCAGGAAUUGUUUUGUAAGAUAUGCGAAAUAGUAGAGGGAUGAAUAGUGUUUCAUUAAUAAAAGUGUCCUGUAAAUUAGAAGGUGUCAUAGAAACUAUAAUCAAUAAAUAACUUUUUUUCCCCACGGGUGGUGUUUCUUGUGGGGAUCAGUGACUGGUUUAGGUUCACCCAAAAUGAGUUCAGACUAAAAUUGGUUUGAGUCAAUGCCGUGUCUCUUUUUUCCAGAAAUCAACUAUUUUAUGCAUUGAAUAAAUCAUACAAAGAAAAUAUGAACGCCCGCAAAACCUAAACCCUGGUUGCUAACUUUCUAUGUUUCAGUUCUAUUCACGCAAGAAUAUUAGUUUAAGUUUGGGAAAAAUGGCAACUUACCUAGUGAUUACUUGGUUUUGGUUUGCGACUAUUUACGCAACCAACCAUGAGUUUGACUUUAACGUCAUGGGUUGAAGCCUCCUACAGGAAGGGAGAAAGCUCCACAGCUAGCUCCAAAAGAGAAUUAUCACAUUGAUAGCUCCAGAGAUUCCCAAGGGGACUGAAUCAAAGACAAGUUCCUCACUUUUUCUUCUUUUGAGGCCAAAUAUGAACCAAGGAUCACACAACCUCAUUCAACUUCAUAAGUUUGAUUUCAUGCAGUUGAACACUGGGUGAAGGCCAUGACAAGAAUUGAUUCAAAAAUUCUAUCACUCUUUUAAGUAAUGGAAGAUUAUUAUCUCUGAUUGGCAUCACAACAGCACAUGCUCCUAGAUCUUUCUAGACACUCCAUGCAAUGAAAGCACAAUGGAUCUUGUAACGAUAGAAACUAAGCCAUGCUACAGUACUAGAUGAUGAGGUAAAACUAGUAGACACGGGUGGCAGCCUAUAUGGGAGGGACACAAGUCUAAUUGAUUUGCAUUUCAGCAUUAUAGAUAGGUAUGUUUUGGAAGAUUUGUUCUGGAAAUACCGCACCAAGUAGGAUUCUUUUUCUCUUUAGUGGGUCCACUUGCAUGCCAAUUAACGAGUUGAAAAGUAUGAGCACCUACCUCGUGCUCGUGGAACCGAAGGUCAGUGAAGUGGGGCUCCUUUUGGCCUCGUGUAAACUUGAUUCAGAAGUGAAGUUAAUAGUCUUCCAUUCAGAUGGAUACAUGGGAAUUUUUCUCUUUUAUUUAUUUAUUUAUUUUUUUUUUGUGUGUGUAUGUCAAAGGAUAAUGAAUGAAGCGCGUUAGCUUGUUUUCUGACUGGAACCGCAGAUGUCCAAAUUGGAGUUCCUUCAUUUCUUACUUAGGAUUGUUACAUGUAUAAACAAGGUAUAAGAAAUAUGCCAACGUGUCUUGAGGAGUUAUUGAUUAGAAAUAACAAGUCACCCGACUGUAGAGUUCCAAGAUUUGAAUCUUCAGACCCUAUAGCAGCCUCUGGGGUACGUGGCAUCCUAUAGCAUAUUAAUGAAGGCUUUUUCGAUUUAGACUUCACAAUACCAAUUAAUAUGUAUGCACAAAAUGGAGAUGACCCCAAAAAAAACAGAAUCGCCAUAGUUUAUGAGGUUAAGGUGAUUCUCCACUUAAUAUCUACAUUAGCUAAUUAUGUAAAUCAAAUGAACUUCUAUUUUUCCUUUUUUUUUUUGGUUUAUGUCAAAUAGUAGCCCAUAAUUAACCCAACCAUUAGCCUGUUUGAAUUGAUUUCACAUGCACAAUGUUGUAGUAGUUCAUAUUUUGAAUUUUAUUUUUACAAAGGUAGUUAAGGAAAAUGAAGUAUAAUAAUUAUAAAAGCAGACUAUAUACACUACAAUAAUUGUUAGAAUGGUAUCUCAAAUUCUAAUUUAAAAUAUUAUUUUUUGUAAAAGAAAUAUUAUAUAGAAUAUUUCCUAAUUUUAUAAAUGAUUAUAAUUAGAUCUUUAUAAAAUAAGGAAAGUUGGUAAGAAUAUCUUUAUAAAUAUUUUAGGUCAUGAGAGAAAGAAAUGGGAUAAAAAUGUGAUGAAGAGGUGAAAUAAGAGAGUUGAUUAGGAUAUAGAUGUGAAGAAGAAAGGGAUUCAAUAUAUAUAUAUCUUUCAAUUACCACAUUAAAACCCUGUGAACCUUUUAUAUGGUUUACUUUAUUUUUAUAUUCCUCCUUUAAUAUAUUUACAUUAAUGCUUCCAUUGGCACAACAAUAACGAAUUACAAAUACAAGCAACAAGUCCCAUGUUUUAUUACCAAAAGCAGGUAAAAUCCACCUAAUAUAUUACAAUAUAUUCAUCCAAUAUUUUAGACCAAUUCUUCACCAUAAAUAUCAUAAUGUGGCUUUUGUUCUUUCUUAAAUUUAAAUUGAAUUGUCUUAUAUCAAUUUGUUUGUGAUUUUUUCAUUAACUUCACUUUCAUUUGGUUAUCUUUGGUUUUUGAAAAGUAUUAAGGAAUUAAUUAACAAAAUAAUGUUAAGAAAAAUAAUUUUCUCUCUUUUGAUUUUGAUUUUGUAGUAGAAAAAUAUAAUUAAAAUUAUUUAAAAAGUAUGUAAUUUUAAAUUAUUUAAUAUUUAGAUAAAAAAAAUAAGUCUAAUGAGUUUAAAAUAACAUAUAAAAAUAAUUUAUUUAUUUUAAAUUUAUUUUUUAUUUUCCAUUAUGUUCUCUUUCUCUUUUACUUUUUCAUAUUUUUUCUUACGAAGAAUCAAACACAACCUCAUAUUAUAUGUCAAGUGUUUGUCUAUAUUUGAGCAAUGUUAGAUACGGCCAUGGAUUCAUCAAACUAAACUGAUUUUAAUAGAUACUUCACAAAUUGAUUUAUACACUAAAUCAUUGGAUAGCAAUGAUGCAUUGGAAUUAAACGUAGGAUGAAGCUCGAAGAACACUGUUUGUGUAACAACAUAUUUAUGAAAUUAUGCAAAGGAUGAGCUUCGGGGUAGUAGUACAAGGUCAUUAAUGGAGAGCCGUGUUAAACCUUGAUUGUGAUUGGAUUCCGUUAUCAGCAACAGCAACCUUGUUUGUAACCUUGAAAGUCAUUCUGUCCACAUCGAAACUCCAAUUUGACGUUUGUAAUUACCAUUCCUGGAGUGUUCCUUGAUUGAAAUUUAAAUAAUAAUUGCGGCCCACAAGGAAUAUUUUCGAUUCUGUGGGAAUUUGACAAGGUUUGUUAGAGAAGACUGGUGACAUGUUGACUUCAAUGGUUCAAAUAGGAGACGUAUGUGGAUUUGGGGGGUUUAAUUGAAACUGAGUCCCUAUGGCUUUUUAAUAUUUGCAUUGAGCAGUCUCCAUGUGACUUCCUAAUUCCCACCAACCCUCCUGUCCAUGCUGUGAAACUAAAUUGUAAUUUAUCAGCCUUUGUCAAUGGUUUCUAAAUUAAAGAUAUAGACCAUGCAUGUACUUUAAUAAAAGCAAAUCUAAAGUGUAGAUAGCAGCAAUGGUGACACCCAAUAUUCUCCAUAAAAUAGAAUUAGAAUAAGCAGUGUUACAUUGUUCAUGAUCACCUACAAGCAUACAAGAACUUCCAUGAAUAACUCAUAGCAAUUGCCAACAGGGCGUCGUAGAGACUCAUACAUAGAACACUAUCCACCCAGAGGAAAGGACAAGACCAGUGCGCUGCAGCUCUUAUUUUUCACAUGUAUACCACCACUCGUAAUAACCAAAUUCACUCAGUUGGGAUAGGUGGGAGAUGGUGGUUUGUGGGGUGGCUUGUGGGGAGGAGUUGGAGGAGGCUUUAUUUUCUGAGGCGGCUUGUAUGAGUGUGCAGGAGGAUGCCCGGGAGUGUGACCAUAAUGUGGUGGCUUCUCUCCCGUAGGUGGUUUGCCAAAUGGGCUUGGUGGCUUCUCUCCCUUAGGAGGUUUACCAAUUGGGGUUGGUGGCUUGUGUUCUGGGAGUGGUUUCUCUCCCUUGGUAGGUUUGCCAAUUGGGGUUGGCGGCUUAUGUUCUGGGAGUGGCUUCUCUCCCUUGGGAGGUUUGCUAAUUGGGGUUGGCGGCUUAUGUUCUGGGGGCGGCUUCUCUCCCUUGGGAGGUUUGCCAAUUGGAGUUGGCGGCUUAUGUUCUGGGAGUGGCUUUUCUCCCUUGGGAGGCUUGCCAAUUGGGGUUGGCGGCUUAUGUUCUGGGGGUGGCUUCUCUCCUUUAGGAGGUUUGCCAAUUGGAGUCGGCGGCUUAUGUUCUGGAAGUGGCUUUUUUCCCUUGGGAGGUUUGCCAAUUGGGGUUGGCGGCUUAUGUUCUGGGGGUGGCUUCUCUCCCUUGGGAGGUUUGCCAAUUGGAGUCGGCGGCUUAUGUUCUGGGAGUGGCUUCUCUCCCUUGGGAGGUUUUGUUGGUGGCUUGUGUUCUGGAGAUGGCUUCUCCCCUGGAGGCUUGUGCUCCGGAGGUGGCUUCUGAAAUGGCGGGGGCUUGGGGUAAUGAGCAAGAGAUGGAGUACUGGUGAGAACCACCAUUCCAAGCAACAAUACUAGCAAGCAUGUGGGAGAC
rnacentral:lncRNA from 1 species